AACGAACGCUGGCGGCAUGCCUAACACAUGCAAGUCGAACGAGACCUUCGGGUCUAGUGGCGCACGGGUGCGUAACGCGUGGGAACCUGCCCUUAGGUUCGGAAUAACUCCCCGAAAGGGGUGCUAAUACCGGAUAAUGUCUUCGGACCAAAGAUUUAUCGCCUUUGGAUGGGCCCGCGUUGGAUUAGCUAGUUGGUAGGGUAAAAGCCUACCAAGGCGACGAUCCAUAGCUGGUCUGAGAGGAUGAUCAGCCACACUGGGACUGAGACACGGCCCAGACGACUACCGGAAGCAGAAGUGGGGAAUAUUGGACAAGGGGCGAAAGCCUGAUACAGCCAUGUCGCGGGAGUGAGGAAGGCAGUAGGGUGGUAAAGCUCUUUGACACGGGAUGGUAAUGACAGUACCGGGAGAAUAAGCGGAGGAUAACUCCGGC
rnacentral:rRNA from 1 species